rnacentral:lncRNA from 1 species
CAGCGAGCAGCUGGAUCUGAGCUGGGGCCGACACCGGGUGCAGCAGAACGCCACAUACAAGAGGCGCCGGCCACUCCACGUGGACUCUGGGGCUGUGUGAGCUGCCCAGGGACCUCUCUGUCUCCGGCGCGCUCAGCCUGGGCCCCGGGCAGCUCCUGCUGCGUUCCCACUGCCAUCUGGGCCUCGCUCCGGACUUGGACCAUGGCCUGAAUCUCAGCCUGACCCUCUACAACCACAGCAGGCCCCAUGCAUCUGACUUCUCUGGGGAGCUGGAACUCCGAGGCCCCACGGCCCAGUGGGUUGGCCUGCAGGGUUGGCUCUCCACCUCAGCUUCCCAAACCCUGGCCCAGCUGGAGGGCAGCACGAACAGAGCAGAGGAGAAGAGAAGGUGAGGCUGGCUGUGUCACGCAUCCCCAGCUGCCUCCAAGCCUCCGUGGCCCCCGAGGAUGGGACUGCUCAGUGGUGGUGACGCUGCCGCUGCCGUUGCUGCCUGCAGCGGACGAGACCCUGGAUGUGCUCCAGGUAACCAGCUACCUGGUAGAGGAGAAGCUGCUGCGGCUGCUCCGAGAGCUGUACAGGGCCAACAUGCUGGCCGAGUGGUAUGGGCUCCGCCACCACCUGCUGGGGAGCCCCUUGGAGUCUGCGCCAGGUGGGCUCAGGCAUCAGGGCCCUGCACAUAGAGCUGAACCAUACAAUCCUUGCCCUCGAGCCCAGCCUGCAGGUCAGUGAGAGUGGGGUGCAGGAGACAAAGCCUCCCCAGGGGGUGGUACUUGGAGCUUGACAUCAGCUUGAGGGUUGCACAUCCGACUCAGCCACCAUGUGGCCCACAGGCCUACGUGCUGUAUGACUCCUCCCUGCCGGGGCACAGCUGUCUGGACCCUGAUUUGCCGCCUGCCAAGAUGAGGAGGGAUGUGCCCAGGAUCGAGCUGACCAGUGAGGACGGUGUCUCCAUCUCCUGUGACGUGCACACUGGGCUCUGUGGCCUGACCUGGGCCUCUGGCAUCACAGUGGGUUUGCGUCCCAAGUAUCGGACCUGCCUGGAAAGGGCUCUUCCAGAGGCCUCCAGGGCUGAGGGAGACACGGGCCUCCGAGCAGACCCUAGCUUGCAGUGGGGGCCUCAGGCUCCUGGGGCACAUGGCCUACGUAGCCAGAGGAGCUCAGCCCAGAGGCUCUGAGUAGGGGGGAACCUCACUGGCCAGGCCCCUGCCGGGACAGUCCCUCCACAGGGGCUGACACCAGUGAAGGCCACAACCACUGGCCUCAUCUUUAGCGAAACACAUGAGCCCCACACUUCUUAGUCCUAGAAGUUCCCAUCCCAUUUACAGAUGAGCUGGCAAAGUCCCAGGCUGCUCCAGAGUGGGGUCGGCUCUCACGGGUGCUCUCCAGCAGCUGGUGACCAAGGAACACCGUGAUCGCCAGGACAGGGGCAGGAAGGGAACAGAGGCUGGCCUUCUCUCCCACUUCCUCCCCUCCGGCUGUGGCCACCCAGUGUGGGGUGGGUGGGGUUGUGCAGGCUCCUCCCACACGUACGGUGCUGGAGCCAAAGCAGGGACACGGCCUCUCCCAAAGCCCACCUGCCCCACAGGUGUCUCUGCUGGCCUGCUGGGAACCAACAACAACAGGUAGGUGACGAGCUCAUGCUGCCGGAUGGCACUCUGGCCCGUAGCCUUGGGGGAGCUGGCCCGGGCCUGGCAGGUGAGCCUCUGUAUCACCAGGCCUUGGGGCCGGGGUGCAGACCCAGGGCCAGGGGUCCUCUCGCUGGAAGCAUACCUGGGGCCCUCUGGUGUCUCUGCAGAGGCAGAUGCCCUGAGGGAGUCUGCCCAUGAGGGAAAGAGGCUGCAGGAGGCCCGAGUCUCGAGUCUUCCCCAAAGGUGGUUGGAGACCUCGGGGCUGCGGAGAGGACACAGCAGGCAUGCCCCGGACAGAGCUCCAUCUGCCAGGCCUUCUUCCAGGACCCCCACUCCAGCCUGGGGACCUGCUUCCGGCUGCUGAGUGCAAGGUCAAGCCUGGUGGGAGGCCCCUGGAGGGACCACAGGGCAAGAGAGAGCCUGGCCCAUCCUUCGGGCUGCCACCCAGGGUGCCCUGAGCGAGGGCAGUGACUGGGGCUGGCGCCGAUGUCAGGUGGACCCUGCACCAUUCCUCAGCCCCUGCCUCCAGGGCUCCUGGGACACCCAGGGGCUGCCACCUGCCUGCAACCUGGCGGCCGCCUACAUCCCCCUGUGUACUCGGGGUGCUGUGCCCCUGGGCCCUCCUCCAGUGUGGUGAGUGUGGCCCACAGCCACUCUGACCCUGGUCUGGCCUCCGCCUCCCUCCUAAAGGGAAACAGUUCUUUUCUCUUAGCCCUGACAAGGAGGACACAGACUCGAUUAUCGUACAGUGAGCUGGGAGUCCACACUAAAGGUAUGUGCAGAGCAACACUGGGCAGAGAGAAACAAGUCCAAAGCCUCCCCACACCGAGUGUCCAGAGCACCCUCGAAGUCACCUGGAAGCCAGCUGUGGUGGCACAUGCUUGUAAUCCCAGCACUGGGGAGGCUGGGGCAGGAAGAGCACCACAAGUUCGAGGCCAGCCUGGCCUACACAACCUGGAGACCCUGUCUCCAAAGGAGUCACCUGGAAACCUAUAACCACAGACUGGCCCUAGAGGAGCUGAAUGCCACCUUCAGUGCCUAGAAACCCACCUUCCACCAAUGUCACAAGCACAGACGACAGUGGGCAAACAGCAAGACAACACCCACCAAGUCCCCCAAUCACAAACGAAGCCAGAACAAGUGGCUGCAUAAGAUCAUUACAGACAUAAAAGAACAUUGAACAAUGAUAUAAGCAGAAUGCCCCAAAUGACUGAAGAACUAAUUUUCACAGACAUUUAAAACUUAACAGAUUUAAUGGCAGAGGAAAAAAAUUAAUGAACGGGAAAAUAUGACAGGGAAGACGGCAGGAGAGGACCCGUUGUGUCUAAAAGUUCCAGAUGAGAAAAUGCGGUAUUGGAGACAAGUCCCCUCCAAGUCAGGAAGCACAAGGAGCCCCAAACACUAGGACUCACUCCAUACCCAUCUGCAGACCUGCAGGAAAACUGGAGCGCGAGUCCCAGGGCCUCCAAGAGCACAGGCAGGGAAGAUCUUUCAUGGAAGGACAAGCAGAUGAGAGCUCUGCCACCAGCAAUGGCAGAAGGGAGCGGAGUAAACCCCUAACAGAGAGUGUCAAGUUGGGUUUUAGGCCAGUUCACUUCUUACUUAGGGUUGAGGACGAACUAAGCUCUCAGCAGUGGCUUCAGCCAACGCCGUUCCCAGUCCUGGACACUAGCCCAGCCCCACGUGUGGCUGCUUCCUGCUGCAUCGGCAGCGCCACAGAGGCCACACAGACCGUGUGGCCUGGAAAGCCCAAGUAUUUACUCUCUGGUCCUCGAUAGAAGAAGUUGGCUGAUCUCUGGUAUGCUCCAAAGAAAGCAGAAGGAAGAAAUUAAGUUUAUGAAACAGGAAAGACGUGACUAGAAAUGAGUAAAAGGGAAAAGACACAGUACUGGGAAUGAGCAGGGGUCAAAACCUCAGAUCCAAGACAGAAUUCCAGAAGGGACACGAUGACUUCAGAUACAUCAGAAGACAGAGAUUCCAUUACUGUCUACGACAUCGUUUGUCUACACCGAUUUGACAAUAUCAAACCUGAAGAAUCUCACAGCUAUUAAAACGAAUCUAUAGUUAAAAAUGUAACCAUAAAAAAGAGAAAAAAACAGGCCCUGCUCAAUGAGGGCUAUUAGACAUCACCCAAAGCAAGAUUCAUGAAAGGAAAAAAAUCAAGAAAUUGGACCUCAUCUAGGUUCAAAACUUGCUCUGUGAAGACCAUGUUAUCAGGAUGGAAGGGCAAGCUACUGAGCAAGAGAAAAGAACUCCAAAGCACAUCUAGCUAAGGACUUCACUAGAAUAUGUAGAGAGCCCUUAACACUUAACAGUGAAAAAUGAAUGUAAAUAGAAAAUGGGCCAGGGCCGGGGAUGUAGCUCCGUGGCACCACACCUGCCUGGCAAGUGUAAGGUCCUGAGUUUGAUUCCCAGUACAGCAAAAAAGGGAGGGGGCAAAAUACAGAGACAUUUCACCCAGGAAGAUAUAUGGACUGCAAAUAAGCAGGCAGAAAGUGGUCAACAGUCUGCCUUAUGGAAAGGAGGUAACACCACUCACCUAUUAGAACAGUUAAAGUAAUAGCGAUACCACCAAGUGCUGACGGGACAAUAUUGCUAGCAGGAAUGUAAACUGGUGAUACUCUGGAAAAGAGUGUGGCAGUUUCUUAGACUGAUGGAUGGACUACUUUGUUUUGUUUUGGUUUGGGUUCUUUUUGAAAUGGUGUCUCACUAUAUAGCCCAGGUUGGCCUGAAAUUCACAGCAAUCCUCCUGCCUCAGCCUCCUGAGUACUAGGAUUACAGGUAUGCACCUGGCUGAAUGUACUACUUUUGGUGCAGCAGUUACACUCUUGAACAGUCAUCCCAGAGAAAUUAGUGUAUCUUCACACAAUAAUUCAUAGCGCCAUUACCUGUAAUCGCGCAAACUUGGAAGCAACUAUAAUAUUCCACAGUAGGUGGAGGAUCCCACUCUGAUAUAUCCCUGCCUUAGACUACUUACUACUUAGCAUAAAAACGUUUACAUUAUUAAGCCAACCAACAGUGUUCUUGGAGCUCAAGUGCAAUCUUUCUUUUUUUUUUUUUGUACCGGGGAUCAAACUCAGGACCUCGCGCUUGCAAGGCAGGUAGCGGAACCACUGAGCUAAAACCCCAGCCCUCAAGUGCAAUCUUGAAAAUAGCCAAUCACAAAAGACACUGCCUGGUUCUCUUUAUAGGACACUCUCAGAAUGACAAACUGGUGGUUGCCUGGGUCAGGGGCAAUGGGACAAGAGUGUGACUAGGACGGGCAGCAGGAGAGGACUCUGGUCAAGGAAGAGCUCUGUAUCUUGUUCAUAGGAAAGGUAACAGUUUGUCACAGAACUAUGUACAUAGGUUUUACCAAGGCCAGUUUCUGGGCUUUGCUACUGCAGUGUAAUUGUGGUAAUGUAACUAUGGGGGUACAGGGGAACCUGGAUGGAGAAGCAUAGGACCUUUCUGUACUAUCUGUGCAAAUUCUUGUGAAUCUGUAAUUAUUUCCAAAUAAAAAUUACUAAAAAUUUAAAACACCAGGCUCAGAUAGCUUUAUAACAAGUUGUAAAACUGUUCCAUAAUGGCAAAAUGAAACCUGACUCAUAAGUUACUGUUAUCCUGGCACAUCAGAACCCUACAAGGGCAAUGCCAGGGAGGAAUAUUAGAAGCCAGCUGCCCACCUGAACAGAGAUAUUGCACAUAUUAAUGUUGAACUCAGAUGCUACGGUUACAUUAGCAAGCAAAACUCAAUGUGUUAAGACUAACAGAUAAAAACAAAUCAUCAUAAUCAACUCGGAGGCCGG